AUUGAACGCUGGCGGCAUGCUUUACACAUGCAAGUCGAACGGUAACAGGCCGCAAGGUGCUGACGAGUGGCGAACGGGUGAGUAAUGCAUCGGAACGUGCCCAGUCGUGGGGGAUAACGCAGCGAAAGCUGCGCUAAUACCGCAUACGAUCUAUGGAUGAAAGCGGGGGACCGAAAGGCCUCGCGCGAUUGGAGCGGCCGAUGUCAGAUUAGGUAGUUGGUGGGGUAAAGGCCCACAAAGCCAACGAUCUGUAUCUGGUCUGAGAGGACGACCAGCCACACUGGGCCGGAGACACGGCCACGACGCCUCCGGGGGGCAGCAGUGGGGAAUUUUGGGCAAUGGGCGCAAGCAUGAUCCAGCAAUGCCGCGUGCAGGAGGAAGGCCUUCGGGUUGUAAGCUGCUUUUGUACGGAACGAAACGGUCCGGGUUAAUACCCUGGGCUAAUGACGGUACCGUAAGAAUAAGCACCGGCUAACUACGUGCCAGCAGCCGCCGUAACAC
rnacentral:rRNA from 1 species